rnacentral:tRNA from 1 species
GCAUCGGUGGUUCAGUGGUAGAAUGCUCGCCUGCCACGCGGGCGGCCAGGGUUUGAUCCCCGGCCGAUGCA